ensembl:lncRNA
CUUCAUUUGAUCUCACAGUAAACCCAGGAGGUAGGUGAGCUAUAUCAUCUUCAUUUAUUAUUAUGCCCAUCUCACAGUUGGGAAAACUGAGGUAAGGAGAGGUUAGGUGACUUGCCUGGUGUCACCUAGUUAGCUUAUGCACACCUGGGCCCCCACUCUACGCACUGUGGCAGCGAGCUACCUCUAGGUGGUGUGGCCGGAAGAGGGUCAGGAAUAGAAGGCCAGAAAUGUUGACUGGGGCAGCUGCCCUGGCCUCUCCUCUGGGGAGGCUUUUGUGUGAGGGCUCAGCGGGGCCUCGGUGGCUGGACUCGGCGUGGGAGCGGGCCUGUCAGUAAAAGGAGGGAGUCGGGCUGGAUGACCUCGGAGGUCCCUGCGUCCCCCCCAAGCUGUGGCCCAGAGUCUGGGAUAGUCCCCCAAAGGAGGGGGCCGAUUCCUCGUUUCCUCGGCUGGGAGUCGCCUCCUUGUCCCGGUUCUCCGAGCCCUUGGCCUGGCUCUCCUUGUCCGAGUCUCCCUUGUACCCUGGGGACGAGAAGACGGUUUUCACGGCUCCCGCUGCUUGGGGGCCGCUAAGUCACAAGGGACGUGGCAGCUUUCCUCCGUCUUGGGAGCGGUGGCCCUCAGAGGGGGCCUGUGGCUUGUUCUCCGUGGCUAAGGAGGCUGCGCUGGCCCUGGAGGCAGGAGGACUGGAGUUCAGGUGUGGCCUCAGACCCUUGCUAGCGGGCUGGGUGAGCCUGGGCCAGGCACUCAAGCUCUCUUCGGUGAAACUUCCUCCUGUGUCUCAUGACGGAAUCCGCCCUCAUCGCAAGGGUGCCACGCAGAAACCCUGUACCGAGCCGCGCGUUCUGCCCCAGCUGGCCCUUCUCCAGAGCCGCGGGGGCAGAGAACGGCAGAAUGGUGGCCGGGAGCCAACGGCGUCCUUCGGUGGCCUCCUGGGCAGGAGGAUUUCCAGCCAAGGCGCCCGGACCCUUCGGGGCGAGAGCCCAGGACACGUCCUUCCGUGGGCUCCUCCGCGCCUCCGGAGACGGCCGUCAGCAGCUGAUGCCGAAACAUCACAUCCUGGCAACUGCGGGCUCCUCCUGGGCUCCGCUCCCGGCGGGCGAUGGCGCAGCCUUCGUGGCCCGCGUGGGGCGCCAGGCAGGCUCGGAGUAGCCCGUCGCCGGCCUCUCGAGGAGGGGGAUCUGCAGCCGGAGACCCCCAAGAACGAUCACGGAGAAAGUCCCUGGACGUGGGCGAGCUCGAGAGAGCCGAGCAGGAUCGGCUCUGGGCGAAGGUGGCCCGCUGGCUCCGGGCGUCUCUACGGUCGCUGGAGAGCACGAGGGAGCCCGAGCGAGCCGCCUGACGCGGGCUGUGCUGCCAGCUCCGCGGCCCGCAGAGAAGCCUGCUGGGAGCCCGUCCUGGUCCCGGCCCUCGGCCAGCGUCCAGAAGGGGCUUCUGGGGCAGGUCUGCGGCAACGGGGCGGGCAGUGGUCCGGCGCUCUCUGGGCCGGCCCCGGGCUGAGCGCCCGGAGCACAGAAGGGCCAGCACGCGGGCCGUCCUCCAGCCCUGCCAGUUCCAGCUCUGAUGGGAGAGGCUUAGAGCCCGCUGGGAGCACCCGCGGGACGUCCAGCCCAAGUGGGAGGGAGCCCCAGCAGCGCAGGGAGGGGGGUCCCUGGGAAAGGCUUCGGGCAGAAGGUUGGAUUGGACCCGAGGCUUAAAGGAAACCAGCGUAGCCAAGGAGAGGUGACUGGGGAGGCCACCAUUCCAGACAGACCAUGCAAAGGCACGGAGGGGGGAAAUGGCGGGCCUGGAAUGCUGGGUCAAAGAGUGUGGAGAGCGCAGAAGAGUGGAAGAAGCCUGGAAAGAGGGGAAGGAGAGAGGCUGUGAAGAGCCGUCAGUCAGGAGCAGGAGACGACCCGGAGAGCCGGUCUGGAGACUAGCAGAGCCCAGGCAAAGCGGCUGGAAGCCGAGGGCCCAGGCCAGGGGACAGCGGUGGCGCUCUGAAGCCCGCGGCUGCCCGGUGGCCGCAGACUUCCUGGAAGAGGCAGCGGGCCUGGGCCGUCACGCACGAGCCAGGC